AUAUUACUCCCGUCCCAAAAUUUUUGUCUUAAAUUUGUUUAGAUACGGUUGUAUCUAACACUAAAACGUGACUAGAUACAUCCAUAUAUAGACAAAUCUAAGACAGUAAUUUUGGAACAGAGGGAGUGGUUG
rfam:Triticum aestivum genome assembly, contig: Triticum_aestivum_CS42_TGACv1_scaffold_113405_2AS